AUGAGUUUACUGGUGAAUAUUGUUGGCAUCACAGAGGCCACAACAACCUCACAAGUAUGCAGGUGGCGCUGUUGUUUUUCCUCAGUCUUCAAGAUGGCGGUUGGUCUGUGCGAGCUGCAACCGCGCUGCUUACGAUAUAUUUUCUCUAUCGUGUGUUUUUGUGUUUGCUGUAAUGAAACGGGACGUAGUUAGCGUGCACAAAAGUGCCAGAAGAUACCUCGUGUCUCGCUGCGAACUCGCCGUAUGCGUGGCGCGCCAGGCAAAUAUGGACCAACGAUUUUUAUGUCGUGGCCUUUGUCUGGUUGUCGUGGAAAGUUGGGUGGACGUCGAAAAAAAAUAAUGCGUAUUGUUAGCGUGCCUCAGCUCGGCCACUACGCAGCGACAUCUAUGAUGGGAGUAAUGUCGUCGACGCAGCACCGGCAACUUGGAGAGCGUCGUACCAUUGAAAAGUGGUGAGACCGUGACCCUAUAGCAGUGUCAACAUAAUGGCAGGGAAAUGCAGGGAUCCCGCAGCCAUGGCUACAGCAGGACAGGGUGUAAUCUGGAUGUCAUGUCAGACCUGAAGCCUACAGCUUCAGAUUGUGCGCUUGACUGUCAAGCCUUGUGAAGGAGAGGAUGGAGGCUUUUAUUUCCCCUUACCACCCGGAUGCGUCACAUCAUAUGCCUACGGUGAAAUACGAGGGAACUAGCCUGCUGCAAGCAAGAGCCCUCCAUGUACAGCUCGAAUCGAUCAAGAUUGACGAAGAUGACCUUGUCUCUGGCCUUGCCAUGCAGAUUGCCCUUUACUGGAUAUUCGACAUUGUUUUUGCACCAAAGGCACAAAGAACAUUUGACCAUAUGCCACAUGGUCGGUGUUAACAGUGGUGUGUGGCCAACUCCACUUGUGCGCGUGUCACACACGUUGCUACUGUAAAAAAAAUAAAGUGUUCUAUUGUUUAUAUUUUCU